CGUUUGUAUUUGCAAUGAAAUGGUUUAAUAUGCUCUCCUUAAUAUUUUUUAGUGUUAUGUUAGGAUCAGUUUUAGUACAAGAUAUGGAUACUGACGAUUAUCUACGUAAACAAAAAAUAUGGCUUGUAUCUGAGGAAUGUUUGGAAUGUAUUUGUAAACAAAGGACUGGCUGUAAACAAUCAACUAAUUUUACUAAUCCUGAAGAAACAAGCCUUGGACCGUUUAAAAUCACAAGAGAAUUUUGGAAGGAUGCCGGUUCUUAUACACUAAAUAAUGAAGAUCCAAACGACGACAAAUCCUUUAAACAUUGCGUGAACGAUUUCUAUUGUUCUGGCGUAACUGUACAAGGUUAUAUAAAAAGAUACGAAAAAAUGCCUUGUUUUGGUAGAACAGAAAAUAAAACGUGCUCUGACUUUUUAACAAUGCACGUUCAUGGACCAUCAGGAUGUAAGGAUGAAAACAAACUUUAUGAUUGUGACUCUAUAAAAUAAUAUAAAUAUCUAUUUUAUUAUGUAUUGAAUAUUAUUCUAUAAUAACAUCUAUACACAAAAUAAAAAUA